GACAGAGGGUGCAAACGUUGUCCGGAAUCAUUGGGCGUAAAGCGCGUGUAGGCGGUCCGGUAAGUCCGCUGUGAAAGUCGGGGGCUCAACCCUCGGAUGCCGGUGGAUACUGUCGGGCUUGAGUACGGAAGAGGCGAGUGGAAUUCCUGGUGUAGCGGUGAAAUGCGCAGAUAUCAGGAGGAACACCAAUUGCGAAGGCAGCUCGCUGGGACGUUACUGACGCUGAGACGCGAAAGCGUGGGGAGCAAACAGG
rnacentral:rRNA from 1 species